UCUCGGUUUCUUCCUCUCGUUUUCUCUAUUGUUCACGUUUGAAUGACAACAAAAACGAAGCCCUCUCUUUCGGUUCUCUUUGAACAACAACAAUGGUUUUUUCGUUGUUGCAAACCUCAACAAGAUUCGACAGUAGAAGGAAUUCGACUCUGUGCAUCAAGGUAGCAUCAAAAUUUAUGGGAGGAAGUGAAGAAACAUACCUGGCCGGAGCAAAUCCGGCGAACCAAUUCCGGCGACAACUCUUUGGUAGCUAUGCACAAGAAUAACAUAUUUGUAGUAAUGAUUAAACAACAAUAUUUGAGCAUGAGGAUGAAUACAACUUACCUACGGCGAGGAGGUGUUCGCCGGUUUAUUGUUGAGGAUCCUUUGAUGAAGAUGAUACCACCUCUUUGGAUAUUAGGGAGACUUGAAGAUGGACUUCAAGUUGGAACUCUCCACCAAGGUAUGAAGAAUUUCUUCUUCACUCUCUUCAAACCAUGGAACUUUGUAACUAGGAAUUCUCACUUCUCAAGUGGUUUUCUUUGGUUUGAAGAAUUGCUUCUUCUUGCCAAGAAACUUGAAAACUAUGAGAGAAAAGAGAGAAAUGAAAAAGCUAGUAGUAUAGUAGCUUUGGUGUGAUUUGCAAUGAAAUGAGGCCUUCUAUUUAUAGGAAAAGUUAAGGGCAUGUUUGGAUGAUAAUAAACUUGAUUGGCAAAUUGUAAUGAUUGCAAGAAUAUUCUUCAUGAGAUAUUUCUUAUGCAAGUGGGAAAAAAAUCUCUCUUUGAUCUCUUUUUUGUCUUGAAAUUAUUCUUUUGUUAAAUACACCCCUUUUUGUCUUGAAUUAUUCUUUUGCUAAAUUCACCCCUCUUAUGUUUCUUUUUCAUGUUGCAUGAGGACUUUGAAGAAAGCAUGAAGAAGCUUGAACUUGAAGGAUGGAGAUUUGAAGAAUUCAAGAAUUGCAUUUGAAGUUUUAUUUUUUCUUUUCCUUGUAAUUCCAACUUUGUAUGAAUGAAACUUUGUAUUCUUGAAAAUGAAUGGAAUUUUGUAAUUCUUGAA